rnacentral:rRNA from 1 species
UACGUAGGGACCAAGCGUUGUUCGGAUUUACUGGGCGUAAAGGGCGCGUAGGCGGCAAUUCAAGUCAGCUGUGAAAUCUCCGGGCUUAACUCGGAACGGUCAGCUGAUACUGCUUUGCUAGAGUGCAGAAGGGGCAAUCGGAAUUCUUGGUGUAGCGGUGAAAUGCGUAGAUAUCAAGAGGAACACCUGAGGUGAAGACGGGUUGCUGGGCUGACACUGACGCUGGAGGCGACGAAAGCUAGGGUAGCAAACGGG